CAGGGAGGCGGGAGGCGUGGGAGCCUCCCAGGAAGGGCGGCUGCCUGCGCGCUCCCCUCCUGCCCGUCCCCAGAGCGUCGAUGCCCUUCCCUGACGGUGCCAGGCUGCGCGACUCGGCACAUGUGCCAGCCACCCCAAAGACACACCCGAGGAGCGGCCAUAGUCCCUGUCCUCCGGGAAGGGACGUGGACAGAAGCUCCUACCUGACUGUGUGUACCUCCUCCACUGCAGCUCUUGGAGAAGAACAUCCAAGACGGCUUCCCUGAGCUUUGAUAAAUUUGUAGACCAAGCAGGUUGAGAGGAGAUCUUCCAACUGCAGGAGAUGCUGUUGUUGAUCUCACUUCUGAAGUUAAGCUGCCUUUCAAAUGGCUCUGGACACAGAGAAGUGAAACCCUCAGUGCAGCUAGAGAUGGUGAAUCUGAUAUUCGGAGCCAACAUGAUCCAUGGACGGGGAAAAGAAGACAUCACAGUGAGGAAGCAGGAAUCCAAUCCCGGAACAUGGCCAACCAGUAACGAAGCCUGUGGGAACACCUGGGCUCCCCUUGCCCGGCUGGUCAAAGCAGAAACUAAACAUUGGCCUCAGGGACCCCAAGACUUUAAGGAGUUAGCCAAGUCCUGGGGCCCCAGAACUCUUGAGCUCUCCUGAUAAGAAUUUAAAAACUAGGAGGUGGGGAUGUGACAGAGGUAUUGUUCUCAAACUUUAGAAAAAACCAAAACAAAACACGGAACAGUGAAAGAAAUGAUCCAUAGAGUCAAGCCUCAGUAAGUCAAUAUCCUCAUAUGACUUAUGAGGAUACCUCUGCUUGAAAUGCCAUCUAAUUAGUAUUCCAUUCAGCUAUUAUUAUAACAAAUUCUAUUUCUGUUUAAAGAAAGUACAAUGAGUGGGAAAGGAUUUUAAUUGUGCUCUCUCAUCUAACUAGACUUCUCAGUAGCCUGCACGUUCACACCAUGAAACCACAGCCAGAGCAGCACGCUGUGUCUGGGGCCGUGAAUUGUAAUUCUAGGCAAAUAUAGAGGAGAAAAUAAAUUACCUUGAGUUUUUAUAAAACUAAAAAUAGUAAGAGACGUCAUAUCAAAUAAGAUGAAGGGCACAGUCACAUCAGGUUUUUGCCUAGUUCCAAGUAACCUCUUUGAGUAGUGACUAACUGUGGAAUGCUAUUAGGUUAUGGGCCGCUGCGAUGCCCACCGUCUGUUCUGUUGCUGGUUUGCCCUAUUUCACUGCUCCUUUUGUGUGUCUAGCUUUGUAAGCUGCUCCAAAUCCUUUUUGGAAUAGGUAGUGCAAGAAUAAACAAAUAAAAACAUUGAUUCUUAGGAGCUUUUCAGAGUACUGUAAAAAUGAAUUUUACCAGUCAAGUUAAUUAA